rnacentral:rRNA from 1 species
GGUUAAGCGACUAAGCGUACACGGUGGAUGCCCUGGCAGUCAGAGGCGAUGAAGGACGUGCUAAUCUGCGAAAAGCGUCGGUAAGGUGAUAUGAACCGUUAUAACCGGCGAUGUCCGAAUGGGGAAACCCAGUGUGUUUCGACACACUAUCAUUAACUGAAUCCAUAGGUUAAUGAGGCGAACCGGGGGAACUGAAACAUCUAAGUACCCCGAGGAAAAGAAAUCAACCGAGAUUCCCCCAGUAGCGGCGAGCGAACGGGGAGGAGCCCAGAGCCUGAAUCAGUGUGUGUGUUAGUGGAAGCGUCUGGAAAGGCGUGCGAUACAGGGUGACAGCCCCGUACACAAAAAUGCACAUGCUGUGAGCUCGAUGAGUAGGGCGGGACACGUGGUAUCCUGUCUGAAUAUGGGGGGACCAUCCUCCAAGGCUAAAUACUCCUGACUGACCGAUAGUGAACCAGUACCGUGAGGGAAAGGCGAAAAGAACCCCGGCGAGGGGAGUGAAAAAGAACCUGAAACCGUGUACGUACAAGCAGUGGGAGCCUCUUUAUGGGGUGACUGCGUACCUUUUGUAUAAUGGGUCAGCGACUUAUAUUCUGUAGCAAGGUUAACCGAAUAGGGGAGCCGGAGGGAAACCGAGUCUUAACUGGGCGUUAAGUUGCAGGGUAUAGACCCGAAACCCGGUGAUCUAGCCAUGGGCAGGUUGAAGGUUGGGUAACACUAACUGGAGGACCGAACCGACUAAUGUUGAAAAAUUAGCGGAUGACUUGUGGCUGGGGGUGAAAGGCCAAUCAAACCGGGAGAUAGCUGGUUCUCCCCGAAAGCUAUUUAGGUAGCGCCUCGUGAAUUCAUCUCCGGGGGUAGAGCACUGUUUCGGCAAGGGGGUCAUCCCGACUUUACCAACCCGAUGCAAACUGCGAAUACCGGAGAAUGUUAUCACGGGAGACACACGGCGGGUGCUAACGUCCGUCGUGAAGAGGGAAACAACCCAGACCGCCAGCUAAGGUCCCAAAGUCAUGGUUAAGUGGGAAACGAUGUGGGAAGGCCCAGACAGCCAGGAUGUUGGCUUAGAAGCAGCCAUCAUUUAAAGAAAGCGUAAUAGCUCACUGGUCGAGUCGGCCUGCGCGGAAGAUGUAACGGGGCUAAACCAUGCACCGAAGCUGCGGCAGCGACGCUGAUGCGUUGUUGGGUAGGGGAGCGUUCUGUAAGCCUGUGAAGGUGUGCUGUGAGGCAUGCUGGAGGUAUCAGAAGUGCGAAUGCUGACAUAAGUAACGAUAAAGCGGGUGAAAAGCCCGCUCGCCGGAAGACCAAGGGUUCCUGUCCAACGUUAAUCGGGGCAGGGUGAGUCGACCCCUAAGGCGAGGCCGAAAGGCGUAGUCGAUGGGAAACAGGUUAAUAUUCCUGUACUUGGUGUUACUGCGAAGGGGGGACGGAGAAGGCUAUGUUGGCCGGGCGACGGUUGUCCCGGUUUAAGCGUGUAGGCUGGUUUUCCAGGCAAAUCCGGAGAAUCAAGGCUGAGGCGUGAUGACGAGGCACUACGGUGCUGAAGCAACAAAUGCCCUGCUUCCAGGAAAAGCCUCUAAGCAUCAGGUAACAUCAAAUCGUACCCCAAACCGACACAGGUGGUCAGGUAGAGAAUACCAAGGCGCUUGAGAGAACUCGGGUGAAGGAACUAGGCAAAAUGGUGCCGUAACUUCGGGAGAAGGCACGCUGAUAUGUAGGUGAAGCGACUUGCUCGUGGAGCUGAAAUCAGUCGAAGAUACCAGCUGGCUGCAACUGUUUAUUAAAAACACAGCACUGUGCAAACACGAAAGUGGACGUAUACGGUGUGACGCCUGCCCGGUGCCGGAAGGUUAAUUGAUGGGGUCAGCGCAAGCGAAGCUCUUGAUCGAAGCCCCGGUAAACGGCGGCCGUAACUAUAACGGUCCUAAGGUAGCGAAAUUCCUUGUCGGGUAAGUUCCGACCUGCACGAAUGGCGUAAUGAUGGCCAGGCUGUCUCCACCCGAGACUCAGUGAAAUUGAACUCGCUGUGAAGAUGCAGUGUACCCGCGGCAAGACGGAAAGACCCCGUGAACCUUUACUAUAGCUUGACACUGAACACUGGUCCUUGAUGUGUAGGAUAGGUGGGAGGCUUUGAAGUGUGGACGCCAGUCUGCAUGGAGCCGUCCUUGAAAUACCACCCUUUAAUGGCUGGUGUUCUAACGUAGGCCCCUUAUCGGGGUUGCGGACAGUGUCUGGUGGGUAGUUUGACUGGGGCGGUCUCCUCCUAAAGAGUAACGGAGGAGCACGAAGGUUGGCUAAUCCUGGUCGGACAUCAGGAGGUUAGUGCAAUGGCAUAAGCCAGCUUGACUGCGAGCGUGACGGCGCGAGCAGGUGCGAAAGCAGGUCAUAGUGAUCCGGUGGUUCUGAAUGGAAGGGCCAUCGCUCAACGGAUAAAAGGUACUCCGGGGAUAACAGGCUGAUACCGCCCAAGAGUUCAUAUCGACGGCGGUGUUUGGCACCUCGAUGUCGGCUCAUCACAUCCUGGGGCUGAAGUAGGUCCCAAGGGUAUGGCUGUUCGCCAUUUAAAGUGGUACGCGAGCUGGGUUUAGAACGUCGUGAGACAGUUCGGUCCCUAUCUGCCGUGGGCGCUGGAGAACUGAGGGGGGCUGCUCCUAGUACGAGAGGACCGGAGUGGACGCAUCACUGGUGUUCGGGUUGUCAUGCCAAUGGCACUGCCCGGUAGCUAAAUGCGGAAGAGAUAAGUGCUGAAAGCAUCUAAGCACGAAACUUGCCCCGAGAUGAGUUCUCCCUGACCCUUUAAGGGUCCUGAAGGAACGUUGAAGACGACGACGUUGAUAGGCCGGGUGUGUAAGCGCAGCGAUGCGUUGAGCUAACCGGUACUAAUGAACCGUGAGGCUUAACCUU